rnacentral:lncRNA from 1 species
GCGAGACAUCGAGAGUGGGCGCAGCGGCGAUUUCAGUGUAGAUGCUGAGGGUGCGUGUAAGGUACCGGACUUCUAAAACUAUGAAGUUACGGUAUACAUUUAAAUAGUUCCGGUGAAGUUGCAGUGGAAUGUAAUGUACCGGAUUUUAAAUAUAAAAGUGAAAAUAAAUAAAAAUAGUAUGAGAUACUAUUUUUAUUGGAUUUAGAAAAGUGAAAUAUAAGUUGGGAAUGACCUGUGCUGAAAUCGGAGCGAAAACAGAAGAUUUAGAAUUUUCUGUGAGAAACGAGGCAGAUAAAUUAGCAGAAAAUGCAGUGUCAGAAAAUUAUGAAAACUGGAGGAUAUGUCAGAAAUAUUUUUAUGAGGCUAGAUUUAAAGUUUCAUACCAUUCUGACACCCGUAGAGUGAGAAAUAAAAUCCGACAGUUAUCUGAUAAAGAUUACAGUUCGGUACAGUUUUCGGUGACCAAACGGGGUCGAAAUUGAAAUAUUAAAAUUUCUUGGACUCGUUAAGUAAAACCGAACAUGACUGUCAAAUUUGAGCUGAAACGGAUAUUCAGGGAGCUCCGGCGAAAGAUAUCAGAUUUCGAGCUGCCUGGAGUUGAAUACUGUAAAGUUGAGGGGCUAACUUGUAAAAAGUGAUCUAGUCGUUUCGAUCAAUUUAGUGAGUUUUGGCCUGAACCACGGAUGGCGGGUUCGUAUGAAUUCAUUGCAAGAGCGAAUGGAUGUUAGUCGUGGCUUAUAGUAUUAAAGGAUAAAGAGAAAGUAAAGUGGUCUCUAGGAGACACUUGAGCUAGUGAAAGCCACGUGAGAAUUGGAGCUUGAGGAGAAUGCUCUUUUAUGGAUUGAGAAUCGAGAUGCGCCGGAGUGGGCCAUCUCUUGAUAGAGCAAAGAUCCAAAUGUGAUUUGAACACUCACGAUGAAGCGAUGCACAAUGAUAUUGCCUUCAAGCAAGGUUGGUAAUCGAAUUGUAAAUACCCUGAGGGGAAAGUAAAUGCAAAGAAAAGUUCUUGCAUGUCAAGUGGUGAAUGGUGUUCGAGCGCGUAGUGUCGUUGAGUUUCAACUUGCGCUACCACCAAGAAUGACGGAGACUCGUAAUGCACUUUUGGACUUACAUAUGGCAAAUGUGAGUGAAUCUAGUCUCACGUCCUCCGUAGUGGGCCUUUGGAUAGUUCCAAUGAGCGAAAGGCCACUCCGAGAUGCAAAAGUGCACUGUACCCCUUGUCACUCAAUAAAGAGAAUUAGAGUGUGAAUUGGAUUGAAGUGAGUGAGUUUCGGGGACGAAACUCUUAUUAAGGAGGGGAGGAAGUAAGGUACCGGACUUCUAAAACUAUGAAGUUACGGUAUACAUUUAAAUGGUUCUGGUGAGGUUGCAGUGGAAUGUAACAUACCAGAUUUUAAAUAUAAAAGUGAAAAUAAAUAAAAAUAGUAUGAGAUACUAUUUUUAUUGGAUUUAGAGAAGUGAAAUAUAAGUUGGGAAUGACCUGUGCUGAAAUCGGAGCGAAAACAGAAGAUUUAAAAUUUUCUGUGAGAAACGGGGCAGAUAAAUUAGUAGAAAAUGCACAGUGUCAGAAAAUUAUGAAAACUGGAGGAUAUGUCAGAAAUAUUUUUAUGAUGCUAGAUUUAAAGUUUCAUACCAUUCUGACACCCGUAGAGUGAGAAAUAAAAUCCGACAGUUAUCUGAUAAAGAUUACAGUUCGGUAUAGUUUUCGGUGACUAAACAGGAUCGAAACUGAAAUAUUAAAAUUUUUUUGGACUCGUUAAGUAAAACCGAACAUGACUGUCAAAUUUGAGCACAAACGGAUAUCCAGGGA